CCUUACCCACCUUUGACAUGUACGGAAGGAUCCAGAGAUGGAUUUGUGCUCGAAAGAGAACCGUAACACAGGUGCUGCAUGGCUGUCGUCAGCUCGUGUCGUGAGAUGUUGGGUUAAGUCCCGCAACGAGCGCAACCCUUGUCAUUAGUUGCUACAUUUAGUUGGGCACUCUAAUGAGACUGCCGGUGACAAACCGGAGGAAGGUGGGGAUGACGUCAAGUCCUCAUGGCCCUUAUAGGUGGGGCUACACACGUCAUACAAUGGCUGGUACAAAGGGUUGCCAACCCGCGAGGGGGAGCUAAUCCCAUAAAACCAGUCGUAGUCCGGAUCGCAGUCUGCAACUCGACUGCGUGAAGUCGGAAUCGCUAGUAAUCGUGGAUCAGAAUGUCACGGUGAUACGUUCCCGGGUCUUGUACACACCGCCCGUCACACCAUGGGAGCGGGUUCUGCCAGAAGUAGUU
rnacentral:rRNA from 1 species